AUUGAACGCUGGCGGCAGGCCUAACACAUGCAAGUCGAGCGGUAGCACAGAGAGCUUGCUCUCGGGUGACGAGCGGCGGACGGGUGAGUAAUGUCUGGGAAACUGCCUGAUGGAGGGGGAUAACUACUGGAAACGGUAGCUAAUACCGCAUAACGUCGCAAGACCAAAGAGGGGGACCUUCGGGCCUCUUGCCAUCGGAUGUGCCCAGAUGGGAUUAGCUAGUAGGUGGGGUAACGGCUCACCUAGGCGACGAUCCCUAGCUGGUCUGAGAGGAUGAGCAGCCACACUGGAACUGAGACACGGUCCAGACUCCUACGGGAGGCAGCAGUGGGGAAUAUUGCACAAUGGGCGCAAGCCUGAUGCAGCCAUGCCGCGUGUAUGAAGAAGGCCUUCGGGUUGUAAAGUACUUUCAGCGGGGAGGAAGGGAGUAAAGUUAAUACCUUUGCUCAUUGACGUUACCCGCAGAAGCACCGGCUAACUCCGUGCCAGCAGCCGCAGUAA
rnacentral:rRNA from 1 species